rnacentral:RNase_P_RNA from 1 species
CCAUACUUGGGUAUCUGUCGCUGGUGGAGCAAUCCACGAGAGGAAAGUCCGGGCAACACAGAGCAUCAUACUGUCUAACGGACAGGCGGAGUUUUAUUUUUUUCUCCGACAGAAUAGUGCAACAGAAAAUUACCGCCCAGCAAUGGGUAAGGGUGAAAACGUGGGGUAAGAGCCUACGAAUGUGUUUGGUGACAGGCACGUUGUGUAAACCUUAUGAGUUGAAAGACCAAAUAUAUCACCAGUUAGUGUCUGCUCGGCAUUGGUGAGGGGUAGGUUGAUAGAGCUUUGUCGCAAGGCAAAGACUAGAUUAAUGACAGAUUGAAAUAACAGAACCCGGCUUAUCAAGAGUAUGGUUAU